rnacentral:rRNA from 1 species
AUUGGGAAUGAAAUAUCCCAAGUAGAGAACUCUACCAGCAGUCGAGAAUAUUAGUCAAUGCUCGCAAGAGUGAACUAGCUAACUGGAAUCAUGAGUGUGUCACUCGUGAAUUGUAUAAGGAAAAAUAAUGAUAUCACUUUUACAAAUAGUGUUGUCUAAAGCUGGUGCCAGAAGACUCGGUAAGGCCAGAGACGCAAGCGUUAAUCAUCCUGAUCAGGCGUAAAGGGUUUGUAGGCAGCUUUAAAUAAUUAAAGAUUGAAUCAAAUAGAAGUAAAGAGAAUUUCUAGACUAGGGUUGAUAUCCGUAUAAACUAGAGAGAAUACUAAUUAGCGAAGGCACUUUACUAUCUAAUGAUUGACGCUGAUAAACGAAGGGGAGGAUAGACAAUAGGAUUUGAUACCCUGGCAUCCCUCCCUGUAAACGAUGAAUGGUAGUUGCUAGUCAUAAUGAUUAGUGGCGAUGCUAACGCGUUAACCCAUUCCGCCUUGUGAGUACGACUGCAAAGUUGAAAACAAAAAAUUAGUCGGUUUCGGAGCAA